AAGGACCAAUUCGAAAUUUUAGAAAUUGUGGGUGAGAGGCAAAAUCGUCAUUCUUCCCCUAUUUUUAAUUAAUUCAUUUUAAUGCUAUUUUUUGUCAAUUAGGUCAGAAAUUGGGGACGUAAUGAACACAUGUAAUGGCCCCUUCAAUUUAAUAAAAAUUUUGGCUUCACUUCAAGUUUUGGGUCAUGUUUUUGCUUUCUGUGCCAUUGGGUGACAUAUGAUAGCAUAAUACAAAAUUAGACCAAUUUGUCGUCUAAACAAGUGGGAAACCAAACAUCUACUAACGCACACAUAAUUAUGAAAGGAUUUGUAGAGAUCCAAAGACGAAUGAAAUGGAGAAAUAGUAAGAGAAAACCAGGGUCUUAAAACACACAUCGGUUCAAUUGAGUUCACAAUCCGGCAGACAAAAAUUUUCCAUAUUUUCUUUUCAUAAAAUCAACAAUUUAAGAAAUCAAGAAGAUUGUUUAAGUGACUGACAUGAUCAUAAAAAUCUUACAGAGAAUUGCUCCAAAAUCUAUGGAAGAAAGCUCAUGGAAAACUAUCACAACACAAACUAUGUAAUAGAUUUAUUGAGGAGCAUAAAAUGAAACAAUAACAUCAAUACUAAACACCAGAACUGCAUCAAUAAAUAACAAUAAUUGUAAACCAAGAUAUAGGAUUAUUGUUCACAGCAAAAAAAAAAAAGAUUGUAAGUUUCUAUUAUCUAAAAAAAAACACAAAGACCCAAAUAUAUAAA
rnacentral:lncRNA from 1 species